GACGAACGCUGGCGGCGUGCUUAACACAUGCAAGUCGAACGGAAAGGCCCUGCUUUUGUGGGGUGCUCGAGUGGCGAACGGGUGAGUAACACGUGAGUAACCUGCCCUUGACUUUGGGAUAACUUCAGGAAACUGGGGCUAAUACCGGAUAGGAGCUCCUGCUGCAUGGUGGGGGUUGGAAAGUGUCGGCGGUUGGGGAUGGACUCGCGGCUUAUCAGCUUGUUGGUGAGGUAGUGGCUUACCAAGGCUUUGACGGGUAGCCGGCCUGAGAGGGUGACCGGCCACAUUGGGACUGAGAUACGGCCCAGACUCCUACGGGAGGCAGCAGUGGGGAAUAUUGCACAAUGGGCGGAAGCCUGAUGCAGCAACGCCGCGUGCGGGAUGACGGCCUUCGGGUUGUAAACCGCUUUCGCCUGUGACGAAGCGUGAGUGACGGUAAUGGGUAAAGAAGCACCGGCUAACUACGUG
rnacentral:rRNA from 1 species